UUCAUCUGCUCAUUCGAUCCUCCUCAUUUUUACUAUUUUUUUUAUUUCGCAGGUAAAGGUUUAAGCACAAAGGAGUGUUUUUACAAGUGAAGAUAUAUCCAUCUGAACCAUACUUUAAUUAGGGCGAGGGUUAAUCUCUCUGCAACAAUUGAUAGACAAGUUACAAAUGGAACAAUGAGCUUGAGGUCACAUAUGACGCACAAAAUGUGUGUGCCUCGGUUAGCUGUCGAACGGUUAAGUAUAAAGUGUGUGUGCACUACCAAAAUAGAUUUAAGGAGUAUGUUACCACAUGGAUGUAGCAUUCGUGUUGUUAAUAUUUGAUCACAAUCUAGCUUAAGUCUGCCGGCCCUUAAGCAAACAUAACCAUACUCUAAGGCUAAUUCUUUUCAGAAACUGGGUUUGAUCUUUUUUGUGGGUUCUUCUGAUUUCUUUGAGAUGACGUAUUUAAACAGAAUUAAUUGCUGAGAAGGGUAAUAAUUAAGUGCAUGCUUUGGAAGAAUGGGAUUCACAUGAGUGUGGAGAUAAGUUACUUGAUGUGGAGAAAGAAUGAGUAUUUUUUUCAUCAUGAAUUUUCUACUGCGGUUUGCAGUUCUUAAAAUGGUUUGUUGUCCAUUAAAUGCAGCAAGACUGCCUAUCCCCCGAGAUCGUCCCCUCUUUUCUUUUGGUUGGCGUAAUUAGCUUCAUUGUGCUAUGUCCAAGAAUAUUAUUUUCAUAAUUGAGUCUUUAGUUUUUGUAUUCUACUUGAAAAUAUAUUAUUUCCACAUUACGAAUUUGAUUUUAGUCCAUCAUAUGUUUUGGUUUUGCUCAAGAUUUAUCCAUCAGAUGAAAAUUUCUUUAUAAGAUUUCUACUAUUUUGACUUUGUAACUCAUGGGAUCUGUUCCUGUAAUCUUUCUACACAAAAUUUGAGUUCACAGGAUGCAGAAGAAAAAAAAUUUAGAUCGUGUUUGCAACAAUGGGAGUAACUGUGGAAACAACACAAAUCUUCAAAAAGUGAUUUUUAAUGGAUGUAGAGAGUGACCCCUUUCUUAAACUUGUGGAUCAUUUUGGGAAAAAUGCUAGCAUUAGUGCUCGAAAAUGCAUAUAGUUCCAUGCCAGAAAGAAAAAAUAUUCCUAUAACAUGGAGUAGUAAGUCAUAUCCAGUGCGCGGAGAUCCAGAGACAGAUUUGGAAACAAAAAUAAACUGUACACUGAAAUUGUUUGUAGUUAAUGGAGUGGAGGAAAAUUGAGUUAUGAUCUUACUUAUCAUUAGCCUCAAUAUACUCCAGUUACUAAAUUAGGGGUCUUGACAGCAUGCGUGUAAGAUAGGUAAUAUGUAUAGUUGAGGACCUGCUUCCUCUGUUUGGCAAUACACAUUGAACAUAUAGUCACUCUUCAAGCUCAAAGAGAAUUUACUCUCCCAGCAUGCAAUGUAAAGAUAAAUUUCUCCUGCAACUCACAAAAGUACCUCAAAACAUUGAUGUCUGAUUAGAUACCACAAGAUACUUUCAGCAAUGAUCGUGAAAAAACACUAGAGGAAUGCAAUCUGAGAUGACGUAUAUAAUAGUCCCUCGGGUCAUGUCUUCAACACUGUCAUAGAAGAGGGAUCUUACACCAAUUAAAAUCACUGUGCAUCUUUAACUUUCCUCGGUUGGAUCUCUACCGGGUACUGGAUCCAUAGAUGCUGGAUAAGGGCAAUAUGUUGUACACAAUCCAACAAGAAGGAAAGCUCAGCAACAAAUAAAAAGAGGCGUCGUACAAUUACAGUUCUCUUCAAUGUCAUAACAUCAGUUGGUUGGUCCUGGACCUGGAGUAUUCCGAUCUGAAGUUAACUGCGACCUCAAGGAUUAAGAGAACUUGAGUUAGGGUAUUUAUCAGUUUGAAAAAUUAUUCAUGAUUAGUGAAUCUCUACUUAUGCGUCUUUUUAUUCUUCCUUCUAUGUUCUGGAAUGCAUUACAUGAAGAACACACGCUCAAGAAGUAAGUCACUUUGAAAAAAUGAAGUACUACUGUGUGUACACAUAUAUCUCACUAUCGGACACGUG